CCUACGGGUGGCAGCAGUGAGGAAUAUUGGUCAAUGGGCGAGAGCCUGAACCAGCCAAGUCGCGUGAAGGAUGACGGUUCUAUGGAUCGUAAACCUCUUUUAUAAGGGAAUAAAGUGUGGGACGUGUCCUAUUUUGUAUGUACCUUAUGAAUAAGGAUCGGCUAACUCCGUGCCAGCAGCCGCGGUAAUACGGAGGAUCCGAGCGUUAUCCGGAUUUAUUGGGUUUAAAGGGUGCGUAGACGGGUUUUUAAGUCAGCGGUGAAAGUUUGUGGCUCAACCGUAAAAUUGCCAGUGAUACUGGGGGGAUUGAGUAUGUUUGAGGCAGGCGGAAUGCGUGGUGUAGCGGUGAAAUGCUUAGAUAUCACGCAGAACCCCGAUUGCGAAGGCAGCUUGCCAAGCUAUGACUGACGUUGAUGCACGAAAGCGUGGGGAUCAAACAGGAUUAGAUACCCGUGUAGUC
rnacentral:rRNA from 1 species